UGGGCGUGGUGGCGGGCUCCCAUAGUCCCAGCUACUCAGGAGGCUGAGGCAGGAGAAUGGCAUGAACCCGGGAGAUGGAGCUUGUAGUGAGCCCCCAUCGCGCCACUGCACUCCAACCUGGGCGACAGAGUGAGACACUGUCUCAAAAAAAAAAAAAAAAGAGUUUUUGCAGAGUGUAACCUCCAGACUCCCACUCUCUCCUCCAGUUCCCCAAAGGUAACUGUCUUGGAGGUUGGUGGGUGGGGCUGAAAGUUCCAGUCCUCUAGUCACUGUUCUUCUGGU
rnacentral:lncRNA from 10 species